rnacentral:lncRNA from 1 species
AUCUGGCAUCAUCAGGAGAUGUGCAAAUACUUCUGUGACUAGGAUUAUUUAGAUCAUGUUCAUCAAAAGCACCAGUUGACUUAAAGGUAAAUUGGGACAAUGUCGAAAGUGAUUUCUGCAGAUGUAAAUUCCUAGAGAGUGCAAGUGCUCCUCACGCUGCCUUGAUUUCCUGUCAUGGCUCGUGAGGUCAACUUCACAUAGGCUGAUUGGAAGGCAGAGAAGAAGGCUCCCUGGUUAGAGGCGUAGAGCGUGACGAUGGGGGCUGUGCGUGGAUCCGUGCUAAGCUGGUCGUCGACGGUGAAGAGACCGCGUCCGUUCUGAAUGUCUUGGAAGUACUGGUUGUCGAAUGUGAACUGAGAGGCGUCAUUGUUGAGGAUUGCGAUAUCGAACACAUUUACAGCACAUGCUGCCCGGAGUUGAGUGCGAUAGACGACACUGUUUGGGGCAGUUGGACUAUUAAGCUGCAGACGAUCUUGGAUGUUUUUACAGUGUCCUACUCCGAGAGUGUGAGCACCUGCAAACAAAAAUAAAGACGGCUAAGAUUCAGAGAGUGAACGAAUUCAAGGAAGCUUGUGGGUUCAAACAAUAACUUCUUUGCAGGCUUGGUAAAUACAAUCGCUCAUGAUACGGAAAAGCUAGCGUACCUAGAAUGGCAACACUCUCGGCUAUGCUCAUGCCGAAGGGGGCAAAAACAUUGAGAACUCUGUCCACAUUGGAGGUAGCAGGUGGGAGUUUGGCUUCGGCUUCAGUUGCACUAGAGAAAUCAGCAUCCUUCCUGCCGAGAGGAAUUUGAAUUUCAGGGCCGCCAUUGUAAGCAACUGCGUCCCGUCCAGCCAUAGCGAUAAUGUCUGCGCAGGAAACCGUCAACGGGCACAUAUCCUCCAUGUCAGAUUUGACGGAGUUGAUGAUAUCCAGGCGCUUGACUCCAAAGUUACUGCCAGCGUCCAUUUCCCCGCCAUCGCCUUCCAUCAUGAUGGAGCCAUCGCACCCUCCCUGCACAAAGAGAAACUACCCUUACAUUCCAGAAUUGAACUAUUGCCCUCUGAACAAACAUGGUCAACGGAGGAGCAUGUGAGAAAGCAAUGGAGCAGAAGCAACAACACGAGCCACACAACACUCCCAACAAGUAAGCUCAGAAAUUUGGUUGCUAAUUCGUUUGAGUAGACUGCUAAAAGAGUUGCUACUAUCAAUGAAUUAGCAAUAACAAAUACAAGUUCCUCAGUAUUCAUUCUCAUUAGAAAGUAAUUUCCCUCCUGCUGUCAGCACAAGGUUAUUUAAUUUCAGGAUCUAUUAGAAGCAUUCGAGACUGUCCAAAGUAUCAAUUAGCACAAAUACUUUCGAGUAAAACUCCCAAUUUCUGACUCAAAGUGCUACUACCUUAAUAUUAGAUGUGUAAAAGAGCUACCUAUCUGUGUUUGACCGAGAAAAGUCUUCACUGUCAACUUCCAGACACGGCAUUACUACCAUGGAAGUUCUUGUGUAUUCUACCGACGGCGUCAACGUGAGUAAGUGCAAGUGCAAAGCUAAGAUGUAAUACCACCUGGGGAAAGGAUGGAGCCUACAAUUGUUGUAAGUAAAGCAUUAGUGCAAUGUCAGCGAGGCAAGCAGGGGAGGGGGGCUAAUGUAUGUGGUAACAACACCACUUCCUUUUUUUGCAGACAACGUAAUCCAUGUCGGUAAAUGCUGGCGGAGAGGUUUGGAAAAACGACAUUACUAAAAACAUGAACUUAGUAUUUUCACACAGUUAUCUCCUGAGUGUUGAUAAGCAGAAGACCUGAAGGACAUCGAUAGGAAUAUGAGCUCAAGGAAUGGCAAGCCGGUCUUGUUACGUUAAGGUGUGAGGUACUCACAGGUCCGACUUGACAGUCAUGAAAAGCAAGGCGGAGCAUUGCAGCACUUGAAGUAGCAUCUGUAAGGAAGCUCCGCCGCACCAAGGUUCGCACUCUAUCCUCCACCCCCGCACACCCCAACGAAUCAUAGUAGCCAUACCGCAGCUCAGCGUCCGCCACCGCCGCCAGCAGGAAAGCAGCGGUGAGGAGCUCCAACGCCAACAAUCUCCCCAUUGCCAAUUCCCACAACAAUCAACACGGCUGCCGUUGAAAGUCCUUCCACACGGGAGCUGAAAUCCCAAACGCCACACUUCCUCUCACCCGGUGUUCCAGCUCCAGAUGACUCUACCACCCUCUGACACGAAAAGGCCAACAACUCAUUCCAAUAUCACAGGGUCCACAGCUCUGAAGCGUGUGAUCCUAGUACCCUGCUGCACCAUGCGCAAAAGGAGCCACGCAAGAGAAGGGGCUGCAAGCAUCUAAUGCAAAAGAGGGGAAUGACACUGCAAUCCACCAAUUGAGUCCACGCUGCUCAUGCUGUCAACUUGGAGCUGAAUGCAGCAAAAGCAGCAGCUGACAAGUCCUUGCAGUGGGGUGGGCUAUGAAUCCACCCCAGAAACGGAGCUGUGGAGCUAGCUUCUUUGCUGCUGCUUCUUCUUCUUCUUCUUCUUCAUCACCAUCAUCAUAAUCUUCAUCAUCACUGCAGGGAGUGGCACCAUUGAAGGCUCUCCUGACACGCAGCAACAAUGCAGCUGUACACUUGAAGGCCAGUCUCUCA